GACAGAGGGGGCCAGCGUUGUCCGGACUGACUGGGCGUAAAGCGUCCGCAGGUGGUGUGGCAAGUACGGUGUGAAAUCAGGCGGCUCAACUGCCUGCCGUCAUCGUAGACUGCCGCGCUGGAGGACUGGAGAGGUCGGCGGAAUUGCCGGUGUAGUGGUGAAAUGCGUAGAGAUCGGCAGGAACGCCCAAGGGGAAGCCAGCCGACUGGCCAGAUCCUGACACUCAUGGACGACAGCGUGGGGAGCGAACUGG
rnacentral:rRNA from 1 species